rnacentral:rRNA from 1 species
CUUGACAUCGGAAUGACCGGUACAGAGAUGUACCUUUUCUUCGGAACAUUCCAGACAGGUGGUGCAUGGUUGUCGUCAGCUCGUGUCGUGAGAUGUUGGGUUAAGUCCCGCAACGAGCGCAACCCUUAUGCUUAGUUGCCAGCACAUCAUGGUGGGCACUCUAAGCAGACUGCCGGUGACAAACCGGAGGAAGGUGGGGAUGACGUCAAAUCAUCAUGCCCCUUAUGACCUGGGCUACACACGUACUACAAUGGCCGGUACAACGGGAAGCGAAGCCGCGAGGUGGAGCGAAUCCUAAAAAGCCGGUCUCAGUUCGGAUUGCAGGCUGCAACUCGCCUGCAUGAAGUCGGAAUUGCUAGUAAUCGCGGAUCAGCAUGCCGCGGUGAAUACGUUCCCGGGUCUUGUACACACCGCCCGUCACACCACGAGAGUUUGCAACACCCGAAGUCGGUGGGGUAACCGCAAGGAGCCAGCCGCCGAAGGUGGGGUAGAUGAUUGGGGUGAAGUCGUAACAAGGUAGGCGUAGACGU